rnacentral:rRNA from 1 species
GCUCAGAUUGAACGCUGGCGGCAGGCCUAACACAUGCAAGUCGAACGGUAACAGGAUGUGCUUGCACAUCGCUGACGAGUGGCGGACGGGUGAGUAAUGCUUGGGAACUUGCCUUUGCGAGGGGGAUAACAGUUGGAAACGACUGCUAAUACCGCAUAAUGUCUWCGGACCAAACGGGGCUUCGGCUCCGGCGCAGAGAGAGGCCCAAGUGAGAUUAGCUAGUUGGUAAGGUAAAGGCUYACCAAGGCGACGAUCUCUAGCUGUUCUGAGAGGAAGAUCAGCCACACUGGGACUGAGACACGGCCCAGACUCCUACGGGAGGCAGCAGUGGGGAAUAUUGCACAAUGGGGGAAACCCUGAUGCAGCCAUGCCGCGUGUGUGAAGAAGGCCUUCGGGUUGUAAAGCACUUUCAGUUGUGAGGAAAAGUURGUAGUUAAUACCUGCYAGCCGUGACGUUAACAACAGAAGAAGCACCGGCUAACUCCGUGCCAGCAGCCGCGGUAAUACGGAGGGUGCGAGCGUUAAUCGGAAUUACUGGGCGUAAAGCGCACGCAGGCGGUUUGUUAAGCUAGAUGUGAAAGCCCCGGGCUCAACCUGGGAUGGUCAUUUAGAACUGGCAGACUAGAGUCUUGGAGAGGGGAGUGGAAUU